rnacentral:rRNA from 1 species
UACGUAGGGUGCGAGCGUUGUCCGGAAUUAUUGGGCGUAAAGGGCUCGUAGGCGGUUUGUCGCGUCGGGAGUGAAAACCAGGUGCUUAACACCUGGCUUGCUUUCGAUACGGGCAGACUAGAGGUAUUCAGGGGAGAACGGAAUUCCUGGUGUAGCGGUGAAAUGCGCAGAUAUCAGGAGGAACACCGGUGGCGAAGGCGGGUCUCUGGGCCGAUACUGACGCUGAGGAGCGAAAGCGUGGGGAGCAAACAGG